AGUGAACGCUGGCGGUAGGCCUAACACAUGCAAGUCGAACGGCAGCACAGUAAGAGCUUGCUCUUACGGGUGGCGAGUGGCGGACGGGUGAGGAAUACAUCGGAAUCUACAUUUUCGUGGGGGAUAACGUAGGGAAACUUACGCUAAUACCGCAUACGACUUACGGGUGAAAGCAGGGGAUCUUCGGACCUUGCGCGAUUGAAUGAGCCGAUGUCGGAUUAGCUAGUUGGCGGGGUAAAGGCCCACCAAGGCGACGAUCCGUAGCUGGUCUGAGAGGAUGAUCAGCCACACUGGAACUGAGACACGGUCCAGACUCCUACGGGAGGCAGCAGUGGGGAAUAUUGGACAAUGGGCGCAAGCCUGAUCCAGCCAUACCGCGUGGGUGAAGAAGGCCUUCGGGUUGUAAAGCCCUUUUGUUGGGAAAGAAAAGCAGCAGGUUAAUACCCCGCUGUUCUGACGGUACCCAAAGAAUAAGCACCGGCUAACUUCGUG
rnacentral:rRNA from 1 species